rnacentral:rRNA from 1 species
GAUGAACGCUGGCGGCGUGCCUAAUACAUGCAAGUCGAGCGAACAGACGAGGAGCUUGCUCCUCUGACGUUAGCGGCGGACGGGUGAGUAACACGUGGAUAACCUACCUAUAAGACUGGGAUAACUUCGGGAAACCGUAGCUAAUACCGGAUAAUAUAUUGAACCGCAUGGUUCAAUAGUGAAAGACGGUUUUGCUGUCACUUAUAGAUGGAUCCGCGCCGCAUUAGCUAGUUGGUAAGGUAACGGCUUACCAAGGCAACGAUGCGUAGCCGACCUGAGAGGGUGGUCGGCCACACUGGAACUGAGACACGGUCCCGACUCCUACGGGAGGCCGCAGUAGGGAAUCUUCCGCAAUGGGCGAAAGCCUGACGGAGCAACGCCGCGUGAGUGAUGAAGGUCUUCGGAUCGUAAAACUCUGUUAUUAGGGAAGAACAAAUGUGUAAGUAACUAUGCACGUCUUGACGGUACCUGAUCAGAAAGCCACGGCUAACUACGUG